CUUUACUGACGCUAAAGCUCGAAGGUGCGGGUAUCGAACAGGAUUAGAUACCCUGGUAGUCCGCACGGUAAACGAUGGAUGCCCGCUGUUCGCGAUAUACUGUGAGCGGCCAAGAGAAAUCGUUAAGCAUCCCACCUGGGGAGUACGCCGGCAACGGUGAAACUCAAAGGAAUUGACGGGGGCCCGCACAAGCGGAGGAACAUGUGGUUUAAUUCGAUGAUACGCGAGGAACCUUACCCGGGCUUGAACUGCAGAGGAAUGCGGUGGAGACACCAAAGCCCUUCGGGGCCUCUGUGGAGGUGCUGCAUGGUUGUCGUCAGCUCGUGCCGUGAGGUGUCGGCUUAAGUGCCAUAACGAGCGCAACCCUUUCCGUUAGUUGCCAUCAGGUAGAGCUGGGCACUCUGGCGGUACUGCCACCGUAAGGUGUGAGGAAGGUGGGGAUGACGUCAAAUCAGCACGGCCCUUACGUCCGGGGCUACACACGUGUUACAAUGGGGAGUACAGAGAGUCGGGUGCCGGCAACGUCACCCCAAUCAUUAAAGCUCUCCUCAGUUCGGAUUGGGGUCUGCAACCCGACCCCAUGAAGCUGGAUUCGCUAGU
rnacentral:rRNA from 1 species